GGGGAAUUUUGGACAAUGGGGGCAACCCUGAUCCAGCCAUGCCGCGUGGGUGAAGAAGGCCUUCGGGUUGUAAAGCCCUUUUGUCCGGAAAGAAAAGCAUCGGGCUAAUACCUCGAUGUUCUGACGGUACCGGAAGAAUAAGCACCGGCUAACUUCGUGCCAGCAGCCGCGGUAAUACGAAGGGUGCAAGCGUUACUCGGAAUUACUGGGCGUAAAGCGUGCGUAGGUGGUUCGUUAAGUCUGAUGUGAAAGCCCUGGGCUCAACCUGGGAAUUGCAUUGGAUACUGGCGAGCUAGAGUGCGGUAGAGGAUGGCGGAAUUCCCGGUGUAGCAGUGAAAUGCGUAGAGAUCGGGAGGAACAUCUGUGGCGAAGGCGGCCAUCUGGACCAGCACUGACACUGAGGCACGAAAGCGUGGGGAGCAAA
rnacentral:rRNA from 1 species